AUUGAACGCUGGCGGCAUGCUUUACACAUGCAAGUCGAACGGUAACAGCACUUCGGUGGCUGACGAGUGGCGAACGGGUGAGUAAUACAUCGGAACGUGCCUAGUAGUGGGGGAUAACUACUCGAAAGAGUAGCUAAUACCGCAUGAGAUCUAAGGAUGAAAGCAGGGGACCUUCGGGCCUUGCGCUACUAGAGCGGCUGAUGGCAGAUUAGGUAGUUGGUGGGAUAAAAGCUUACCAAGCCGACGAUCUGUAGCUGGUCUGAGAGGACGACCAGCCACAGGGGGCUGGGGGACCGGCCCAGACUCCCAGGGGGGGAAGAGGGGGGGAAUUUUGGAAAAGGGGCGAAAGCCUACUCCAGCAAUGCCGGGGGCAGGAUGAAGGCCUGUGGGUGGUAAACUGUUUUUGUACGGAAAAAAAAGCCCCCUUCAAAAACGGGGGGGUCAUGACGGUACCGAAAAAAUAAGCACCGGCUAACUACGU
rnacentral:rRNA from 1 species